AGCCCCCUGAGUGGUGGGGACAAUUAUUUGGCCUAAAGCGUUUGUAGCCGGCUUAGUAAGUCUUUCGUUAAAUCCAGUGACUUAAUCAUUGAACUGCGAGAGGUACUACUAGGCUUGAGGACGGGAGAGGUCGACGGUAUUUCGGGGGUAGGGGUAAAAUCCUAUAAUCCUCGAAGGACCACCAGUGGCGAAGGCGGUCGACUAGAACGUGCCUGACGGUGAUGGACGAAAGCUGGGGGAGCAAACCGGAUUAGAUACCCGAGUAGUCC
rnacentral:rRNA from 1 species